ACCCGCUGAAUUUAAGCAUAUCACUAAGCGGAGGAAAAGAAACUAACCAGGAUUCCCCUAGUAACGGCGAGUGAAGAGGGAAAAGCCCAGCACCGAAGCCUGUGGCAGAUUUGCUGCUAGGCAAUGUGGUGUUUAGGUCGGCUCGUGGGAUCGCCACUCCACUCGAAGUCCAGCAUUGAGUAUGGUUCCCAGUAAUUGGCCCAUAGAGGGUGAAAGGCCCGUACGAGUGGAUGUGUCAGAUGUGUAAGGCGAUUCACCAGGCCGGCCUUAGAGUCGGGUUGUUUGCGAAUGCAGCCCAAAGCGGGUGGUAAACUCCAUCCAAGGCUAAAUACUAGCACGAGUCCGAUAGCGAACAAGUACCGUGAGGGAAAGUUGAAAAGUACUUUGAAGAGAGAGUAAACAGUACGUGAAACCGCAUAGAGGUAAACGGGUGGCGUCAAGCUGCAAGCCCAGAGAAUUCAGUCGGUCAGGGUGUUGACAUGCGCCCAGCGCAUCUAUCAGUCGGUGUAGAGUUUGGCUAGUCCGCCGGUAGAUGGCGGGCCCAGCUGUCAAAGGCUGGGAUUUGUGUACCGGGAGGUAGCCGGAACAUGCUAGCCAUCUGUUGGACUGCCUGGCCGAUGCACUUUCUCUGUUGGUGAACACCACGACCGGUGGAACUGCCAGUCUGCUGUGGCCAGCUUCGUCGUGCGCUGCGGUGGUCGUCGUCUUCGCGACGACGGCUGUCUGUGGUGUGCGGCGAUCACAGACAAUUUCAGGGCACGGUGCUUGUGCGUUUCCGCGCACGGGCAUGUUAUCGGGAACUGGUUGUAAACGGGUCGGCCUGUCGACUUGCCUGUAGUCGCGGUCCUGAUGGGUGACCCGGUGGGCCACGGUGGUAGGAAUAACUGUGCAGGGCACCGGAGUUUUCGGUCGGAGCAGCUGUGGUGGUGGCACAUUCUGUGUGUCGCUGCUGCAGCUGACCAGCUGGACACGCACUACAGUUUAGCGUGUGUCCCCGCAAGGGUACACUUGGAUGGUGCUGCUACGGCCUGCCAGUCGUCGGGUCUGAUUGCCGUGUCGCCUGCCAAAAUGGCGGGUCCGGCAGUGGCCUGGCGGUGGAUGGUGUCUGUGGGUGGCGUUGUCUUUGUGCAGCUGGGUAGGCGACCUGAUAGUCUGUGGUGUAGUGGUAGACGAGCUACCCGACCCGUCUUGAAACACGGACCAAGGAGUUUAACAUGCGCGCGAGUCAUUGGGUGCUACGAAACCUAAAGGCGCAGUGAAAGUGAAGCCUCGACAUAUAUUGUUCUCGGGGUGUGGUGAGAUCCCGCUGUUUCUCGCAUACUAACACGUUGUCUAGGCCAGCUGUCUGGGCUAUGCACUCGCGUGUAUAGAGACGAGCAGUGGGCGCAUCACCGGCCCGUCCCAUGAUGUGGCUAUCUGUUGGUGGCAGCCGCAGCCACCGUUUAACCGCGGUGGUGGCUGUCGUUCUGGCGGGUACGUCAUCGGGGCGGAGCAUGAGCGCGCAUGUUGAGACCCGAAAGAUGGUGAACUAUGCUUGCGUAGGUUGAAGCCAGAGGAAACUCUGGUGGAGGACCGCAGCGAUUCUGACGUGCAAAUCGAUCGUCAAACGUGAGUAUAGGGGCGAAAGACUAAUCGAACCAUCUAGUAGCUGGUUCCCUCCGAAGUUUCCCUCAGGAUAGC
rnacentral:rRNA from 1 species